rnacentral:rRNA from 1 species
UACAGAGGGUGCAAGCGUUAUUCGGAAUUAUUGGGCGUAAAGAGCGCGUAGGCGGUCUGAUAAGUCUGGUGUGAAAUCCCUGGACUCAAUUCAGGAAGCGCAUUGGAUACUGUCAGACUCGAGUACAGGAGAGGUGAGCGGAAUUCCCGGUGUAGAGGUGAAAUUCGUAGAUAUCGGGAGGAACAACAGUGGCGAAGGCGGCUCACUGGACUGUAACUGACGCUGAGGCGCGAAAGCGUGGGGAGCAAAC